rnacentral:rRNA from 1 species
AGAGUUCGUUCCUGGCUCAGGAUGAACGCUAGCUACAGGCUUAACACAUGCAAGUCGAGGGGCAGCAUGGUCUUAGCUUGCUAAGGCCGAUGGCGACCGGCGCACGGGUGAGUAACACGUAUCCAACCUGCCGUCUACUCUUGGACAGCCUUCUGAAAGGAAGAUUAAUACAAGAUGGCAUCAUGAGUCCGCAUGUUCACAUGAUUAAAGGUAUUCCGGUAGACGAUGGGGAUGCGUUCCAUUAGAUAGUAGGCGGGGUAACGGCCCACCUAGUCUUCGAUGGAUAGGGGUUCUGAGAGGAAGGUCCCCCACAUUGGAACUGAGACACGGUCCAAACUCCUACGGGAGGCAGCAGUGAGGAAUAUUGGUCAAUGGGCGAGAGCCUGAACCAGCCAAGUAGCGUGAAGGAUGACUGCCCUAUGGGUUGUAAACUUCUUUUAUAAAGGAAUAAAGUCGGGUAUGCAUACCCGUUUGCAUGUACUUUAUGAAUAAGGAUCGGCUAACUCCGUGCCAGCAGCCGCGGUAAUACGGAGGAUCCGAGCGUUAUCCGGAUUUAUUGGGUUUAAAGGGAGCGUAGAUGGAUGUUUAAGUCAGUUGUGAAAGUUUGCGGCUCAACCGUAAAAUUGCAGUUGAUACUGGAUAUCUUGAGUGCAGUUGAGGCAGGCGGAAUUCGUGGUGUAGCGGUGAAAUGCUUAGAUAUCACGAAGAACUCCGAUUGCGAAGGCAGCCUGCUAAGCUGCAACUGACAUUGAGGCUCGAAAGUGUGGGUAUCAAACAGGAUUAGAUACCCUGGUAGUCCACACGGUAAACGAUGAAUACUCGCUGUUUGCGAUAUACGGCAAGCGGCCAAGCGAAAGCGUUAAGUACUCCACCUGGGGAGUACGCCGGCAACGGUGAAACUCAAAGGAAUUGACGGGGGCCCGCACAAGCGGAGGAACAUGUGGUUUAAUUCGAUGAUACGCGAGGAACCUUACCCGGGCUUGAAUUGCACUCGGAUAUAGCGGAAACGUUAUAGCUAGCAAUAGCGAGUGUGAAGGUGCUGCAUGGUUGUCGUCAGCUCGUGCCGUGAGGUGUCGGCUUAAGUGCCAUAACGAGCGCAACCCUUGUUGUCAGUUACUAACAGGUUCUGCUGAGGACUCUGACAAGACUGCCAUCGUAAGAUGUGAGGAAGGUGGGGAUGACGUCAAAUCAGCACGGCCCUUACGUCCGGGGCUACACACGUGUUACAAUGGGGGGUACAGAGGGCCGCUACCACGCGAGUGGAUGCCAAUCCCCAAAACCUCUCUCAGUUCGGACUGGAGUCUGCAACCCGACUCCACGAAGCUGGAUUCGCUAGUAAUCGCGCAUCAGCCACGGCGCGGUGAAUACGUUCCCGGGCCUUGCACUCACCGCCCGUCAAG